UAGCCCAUGGAAACGUGGAUUAACACCCCAUAAUAUUAUUGUAAGGCAUCUUAUAAUAAUUAAAUCGUUCGAGGUAUCAGAUGGGCAUGCGUCCUAUUAGCUAGUUGGGGGGGUAACGGCCCACCAAGGCAAUGAUAGGUAGGGGUUCUGAGAGGAAGGUCCCCCACAUUGGAACUGAGACACGGUCCAAACUCCUACGGGAGGCAGCAGUGAGGAAUAUUGGUCAAUGGGCGCAGGCCUGAACCAGCCAAGUCGCGUGAGGGAAGACUGCCCUAUGGGUUGUAAACCUCUUUUAUAAGGGAAGAAUAAUGACUACGUGUAGUCAGAUGCCCGUACCUUAUGAAUAAGCAUCGGCUAACUCCGUGCCAGCAGCCGCGGUAAUACGGAGGAUGCGAGCGUUAUCCGGAUUUAUUGGGUUUAAAGGGUGCGUAGGCGGUAUUUUAAGUUAGUGGUAAAACGUCGGGGCUUCACCUUGAUUGGCCAUUAAAACUGGAGUACUAGAGUACAGACGAGGUAGGCGGAAUAAGUUAAGUAGCGGUGAAAUGCUUAGAUAUAACUUAGAACCCCGAUAGCGAAGGCAGCUUACCAGACUGUUACUGACGCUGAAGCACGAGAGCGUGGGUAGCGAACAGGAUUAGAUACCCUGGUAGUCCACGCCGU
rnacentral:rRNA from 1 species